rnacentral:tRNA from 1 species
GGAUCGGUGGCCGAGCGGUCGAAGGCGCACGCCUGGAAAGUGUGUAGGGGUCUAAAGCUCCUCCAGGGUUCGAAUCCCUGCCGAUCCGCCG